rnacentral:rRNA from 1 species
UGGCGAACGGGUGAGUAACACGUGAGCAACCUGCCCCUGACUCUGGGAUAAGCGCUGGAAACGGCGUCUAAUACUGGAUAUGUGACGUGAUCGCAUGGUCUGCGUCUGGAAAGAUUUUUCGGUUGGGGAUGGGCUCGCGGCCUAUCAGCUUGUUGGUGAGGUAAUGGCUCACCAAGGCGUCGACGGGUAGCCGGCCUGAGAGGGUGACCGGCCACACUGGGACUGAGACACGGCCCAGACUCCUACGGGAGGCAGCAGUGGGGAAUAUUGCACAAUGGGCGCAAGCCUGAUGCAGCAACGCCGCGUGAGGGAUGACGGCCUUCGGGUUGUAAACCUCUUUUAGCAGGGAAGAAGCGAAAGUGACGGUACCUGCAGAAAAAGCGCCGGCUAACUACGUGCCAGCAGCCGCGGUAAUACGUAGGGCGCAAGCGUUAUCCGGAAUUAUUGGGCGUAAAGAGCUCGUAGGCGGUUUGUCGCGUCUGCUGUGAAAUCCGGAGGCUCAACCUCCGGCCUGCAGUGGGUACGGGCAGACUAGAGUGCGGUAGGGGAGAUUGGAAUUCCUGGUGUAGCGGUGGAAUGCGCAGAUAUCAGGAGGAACACCGAUGGCGAAGGCAGAUCUCUGGGCCGUAACUGACGCUGAGGAGCGAAAGGGUGGGGAGCAAACAGGCUUAGAUACCCUGGUAGUCCACCCCGUAAACGUUGGGAACUAGUUGUGGGGUCCAUUCCACGGAUUCCGUGACGCAGCUAACG